rnacentral:rRNA from 1 species
AACGAACGCUGGCGGCAUGCCUAACACAUGCAAGUCGAACGAGACAUUCGGGUCUGGUGGCGCACGGGUGCGUAACGCGUGGGAACCUGCCCUUAGGUUCGGAAUAACUCCCCGAAAGGGGUGCUAAUACCGGAUAAUGUCUUCGGACCGAAGGUUUAUCGCGUUUGGGUGGGCCUGCGUUGGAUUGGCUAGUUGGUAGGGUAAAAGGCUACCAAGGCGACGAUCCAUAGCUGGUCUGAGAGGAAGAGCAGCCACACUGGGACUGAGACACGGUCCAGACUCCUACGGGAGGCAGCAGAGGGGAAUAUUGGACAAUGGGCGAAAUGCUGAUCCAGCUAUGCCGCGUGAGUGAUGAAGGCCUUAGGGAUGUAAAGCUCUUUUACCCGGGAUGAUAAUGACGGUACCGGGAGAAUAAGCGCCGGCUAACUCCGUG